AAAAUCAGUAAUAAUUUGAUGCUUCCCCUUCUAGUUCCCAGUUUUCCUGAGGAAACUCCCUAAUCCAUCUCCUGGGCAAACAGGGGUGGUAAAUGACAGUGCACCAACACAGAACUGCUGCCAUUUAGCUCAACUCAUCUCCUAGGCCAAAAUAUUUACUUCAGGGCAAUCCUCAAUUCAGUUAGCAGGGAGUGUAAUGCUGUUUCUCAUGCAUCCUACUGCAACUGCUUGUUUUUUUCCUUGCCUUUUCAGGCUCUGAUCGAAGGUAAUAAACUGACCAUUAGCACUACGUUUGCCACAGCACCUGUUUGAAUGAACCCAGCCAAAAUCCACUCCUUUUUGACCGGGUGUAGAGAGAUGGAAAAUUGCAGCUGGCCCAGUCUCACUGGGUCAGUGCGAGCAGAUGAGUAAAACCCUUUAAAUAUUAGUAGGUGCAACAGCAAGCACCCUUAACUUAUGGUAACUAUGAGCCUGUCAGUCACAGCUCCACCUCGACCUCUGUAUCUCAGCUCAGGACUUGGAGCAGUCAGUGAAUGGUGAGCCAGCCCAAGAAGUUCAUGGGAAAAAUAAAACUAAGAGAUGUGCGUGCAGGUUUGUGUGUUAUGUAGAUUUUACAUCUGUAAAAUCUGGUCUAACAAUUUCUCCUCUAAACUGCACGGCCCUACUGUUGGUUAAUCACUUCGGAUAUGUGGGCUAAUGAGCUAAGGUCAACCCUUUUUACUGAGAGCUGAGCAGAUAAUUCUGCGAAAUUGCUCCCUCACGCUACCGCUGAGGAAACAGUGAUCCGGUGUUACGCAAUAGAAGCAAUGAAGCAAAGCAGCCGUCCCGUUCCUUUCCUUCUCCCCCCUCAAGCCCCCAGGCACAGCUGAACGCAGGGAACACACCAAGGGCGGUGGGGGAAGGAUGCGGUCGAUCCGCCUGCAGAGGGGUGAGGCUGGGGCUAGGCAGGGGUGCUCCGCGCCCCACAAAAUCCUACUGAGCCCGGAGCCACCCUCAUGCGGACCCCGGCUGAAAAACGGCAGCCGGACAAGGACCGAGCCCUUGCGGCUCUAAGGGCAAAAGCUUAGGCACCGAAGCGAUGCGGAGAGCUGCAGAAACUUGAAUUCCCGCCCAUCGGAAUAGAGACGGAGAGUCUAUGCAGCUCGGAAACCCCGCGCACUCCAGCAGCCCGCGAGCCGCAGCCAAUGCACGCGCUGCGCGGGCUUUUCGAAAUCCGCAGCGAACGGGAGAGCAAAGAGCGCGCCCACUGCGGCGCAGCGCAGCGCCGGGUCGGUGAGCGCUGCCGGACCCCCCCAGAGCCUCUGGGCUCACACCGGUUUCGUGCGGCCGCCGUGGGGCUUCUCACAGCGCGCCGGCUCGGACGUGCUGCAGAGCUGCCGCGGUGUCAGCUGCCCGGGAUCUGGGGAGAACAGAGAGGGGGCGAUCUGCAUCGCGACCUGAGCGCAGCGCUGAAAAAGCGAACCUCCAUCUGCACGCACAAAGAACCUGCUUACCCUUGACCAGCCUGACUGUGAUAACAUUGUUGCACAUACUGGACACAAGGGCAUCAUUAGCUGCUCAUAAAUGGUGGAGUUGAUACAUUCAGGGCUUCAAGAAAUGGUAACAGAGUGAAAGGAACGAGGUUGCAGCACGGUGUUCCAGCAGCCUGGGAAAACAUACACACAGUUGGCUCCGAGAAACGUCAUGCCCUUUUGUUCUGAGCAAGAACAGUUUCUGAUAAAGAUCUAACGGCUGCGGCUGAAGCAGGCUCUGUCACACAAGACUGGAAAUGAAAAGAAGGAACAACAUACACUUAACAUACAGUAUAGAUCUAAGAAUAAGCUUGAAAUAAUUGUUUUUCAGUUCUCAGUUUCCCAAAGAUGAUUGAAGAAUGAGGUGAGAAAGAGCACUUUUCUAAACAUCAGAUCAGAGCUCCAUUCAGAACUGUAGGUUUAGGGCAUGAGUGGGGCCUUCUUGUCCACAAGCAGCUAGCAAUUAUUGCCCUUUGGAAACUCCAGUUAUGAUGCAAGCAGUAAAGUUUAGGUAUAGCAAUGAGGGAAGCUAAGGAUACUUGGGAAACUCCUAAAACAAUUUGCAAUGCCUCUUCUUUUCCUAGAAGUGACAAAAAUACUAUAUGGAGUUCCCCAACACAACUGGUAACAGUAAACCUAAUACCUAUUACGGUAUAAUUGGCCAAACUUUUUUACUGCCUACUUCAGCCCACACUGGUGAUCUAAGUGUUUAUGCACUAUGCACUAAAAGCAUGUCUCUCUGGUUCAAAGCUCCUUGCUUUAGUUUUAACAUUUAAUAAAUGAACUAAUUGUAAUAUACAAACUGAUGAAGACUUUUCUAUGACAUUAACAUAGAAUGUCAAUAAGUUCUUCUGCUAAAAUGUAGAGACAGAAAUUCCUCCUUUGGUUCUAGAAGCAUCUCUUGUUCUUCAGCACUACCACUGAUGGCCAUUAACUGAUCGUUUGUGUAAAAGAAAACCGUUCACUUAAAACCUAGUGGUAACAACUAUGGUAUCUGAACAGUGGAAUAAGGUAAAGCAGUCAGGAGAGUUUCUACCCUGGCUUUGUAGCUUAGAAUUCAUGAGUUAACUCCCAAGAUUUAGGAGAUGGUCUGUCCCAGCAAUUUCAAGUAGAUACCUUGUUUCCUAAGGGUCUGAGUAUUUGAAAGAGUUCUGGAGCACAGAAAGGACCAAAGGCCAGUUCUUGUGAAAUCUUUUCUACUUUUGUUGUCACUGAGAGUUACAUUCUGACAUUCGGUUUACAGCUGACAACAACAUUCCACGUCUUUGAAGAGGGACCACACUGAUGAAGUGUACAGAGACCAAAUUUGUUUAUGCAAGCUAUACAUCAUAAUUUCACCUCCAUCUAAAAAUAUUUGUGCACAAAUUCCCUGGACAGAAAAAUAAAUGACAGGUCUAUGCAGUAAAUUCUUCUCAAUGUUUAUUAUUUACGAAGGAAAGAAACCAAGAAGAAUAUUGAGUAAACAAGUGAAAGCAGAGAUAGUCUAAAAGCAGAGAAGAGAGUUAUUAUUAAGAAAAUCUAGAACAAGUGCAUCCAGAAUUCACAGACACUUGAAAUCAUGUUUACAGUAUUUGAGCCUUUAAAAAUGUGUUUUUAAAAACUAUCGGUUACUGAUUAUGCAAUUUGUCAUUUAUUUAUACAUAUAGUAUUAUUUAUGAGAGCUUGGGGCAUACGUAGGCCUAACUGAAUAUUAAAAAUUCAAAGGUAAGGAAGUCAUACUGUUCCUAAGGUUCAGUAAACUAAACAUGUAUUAGGCUCCUUAGAUAAUAUAUCAUCACCUUCAGUGUCUGUGCACAGUGCCCACCAUCAAAAGAACAAGACAUGAAGAGUUUAAGGACUUGGUGCUAUUCUAAAAGGAAGAAGAAUUAAGGGAAACUCCCUACAAUCUGGCACCAGUUUCAGAAAAAAAAUCCUUAAGUUGGAACUACAUGGUAAUUUAUACAAAGUUGUUGAUAUAUGAAUAGGGAAAACAUUGUGAUUCAUGGAGAGCAAGGAAUUAAUAACCGAAGCAGUCAAUAAAACAAUGAAGAGCAAUAGUAAAAAAAAAUAAAAAUGCAAUGCAUUCUUCAGGUAGCGUACUUUCCACCGAAAAAGUUAUGAGAGAAACGGAAUGUAACGAAGAAAAUGAAACGCUAAGCGGACGGGAGAAGAGAAACAGCCAAGAGAAAGCCCCGCCCACCGGAGAGGAGGAGGCAGUGCCGCUCCCGCCCUGGCCUGGGGACACGCCCCUGUCCCCAAUCAGGUCGGACUCCACACAAUAACA